rnacentral:rRNA from 1 species
CCUGAUCCAGCAAUGCCGCGUGAGUGAAGAAGGCCUUCGGGUUGUAAAGCUCUUUUGUCAGGGAAGAAACGGCCUGUUCUAAUACAGUGGGCUAAUGACGGUACCUGAAGAAUAAGCACCGGCUAACUACGUGCCAGCAGCCGCGGUAAUACGUAGGGUGCAAGCGUUAAUCGGAAUUACUGGGCGUAAAGCGUGCGCAGGCGGUUUUGUAAGUUUGUCGUGAAAUCCCCGGGCUCAACCUGGGAAUGGCGAUGAAGACUGCAAGGCUAGAGUUUGGCAGAGGGGGGUAGAAUUCCACGUGUAGCAGUGAAAUGCGUAGAUAUGUGGAGGAACACCGAUGGCGAAGGCAGCCCCCUGGGUCAAAACUGACGCUCAUGCACGAAAGCGUGGGGAGCAAACAGGAUUAGAUACCCUGGUAGUCCACGCCCUAAACGAUGUCUACUAGUUGUCGGGUCUUAAUUGACUUGGUAACGCAGCUAACGCGUGAAGUAGACCGCCUGGGGAGUACGGUCGCAAGAUUAAAACUCAAAGGAAUUGACGGGGACCCGCACAAGCGGUGGAUGAUGUGGAUUAAUUCGAUGCAACGCGAAAAACCUUACCUACCCUUGACAUGGCUGGAAUCCCCGAGAGAUUG